UGGUUCACAACCGAGUUUUGAUUAAAAGGGAAUAAGGUGAGAGUCCUUAACAGUCCCGCUGCUGUAAUCGGUAUUGUUGAAGAAGCGUAUGCCACUGACAUUGGGUCGGGAAGGUGUUUCUUCGAAAGCCGAAAAGUCAGAAGACCUGCCAUUGCCUAU
rnacentral:ncRNA from 1 species